CCCUUAGAUGUUCUGGGCCGCACGCGCGCUACACUGACAUGUUCAACAAGCCUCCUAGUUCGACAGGAUUUGGGAAAUCUUUGAACGCAGGUCGUGAUAGGGAUAGAUCAUUGCAAUUAUUGAUCUUGAACGAGGAAUUCCUAGUAAACGCGAGUCAUCAGCUCGCAUUGAUUACGUCCCUGCCCUUUGUACACACCGCCCGUCGCACCUACCGAUUGAAUGUUUCGGUGAAGAUUCCGGAUAGGACUUUUUUGAUUUAUUUCAAUUUUGUCUUAAAAGCUAUCUAAACCUCAACAUUUAGAGGAAGGUGAAGUCGUAACA
rnacentral:rRNA from 1 species